ensembl:misc_RNA Y_RNA Y RNA
GGCAGGUCUGAGUGCAGUGCUGUUUACAACUCAUUGAUCAAAACCAGUGACAAAUUCCUUUCUUCCUUUUCCAUUCCUGCUACUUCACUUAACUAUCCUCAA